CCUAAAAAGCCAUCCAUAAACAAUAGUUUCUCUCUCCCUCGGUCAUCCUAUUGUUCUUCUCUGUUUUGCGUCUUCGUUAUCGUGCGCUUCUCGGACGAUCUCAACCUCACAGAGUCAUUGCCUGCCUAAUAUCGAUCUCUCAACCAUGAGUGACGGAGGAGAAAAGACCUGCCCCCUCUGUGCGGAAGAGAUGGAUCUAACUGAUCAGCAAUUGAAGGCAUGCAAAUGUGGAUAUGAGAUCUGUGUUUGGUGCUGGCAUCAUAUUAUGGACAUGGCUGAGAAGNAA